GGGCAGUUGGUGUAGUGGUAUCACACCCGCUUAGCAUGCGGGAGGCCCCGGGCUCAAUCCCCGGACUGUCCA
rnacentral:tRNA from 1 species